GACGUAGGGGGCGAGCGUUGUCCGGAUUUAUUGGGCGUAAAGCGCGCGCAGGCGGUUCGGAAAGUCGGAUGUGAAAAUCCGGGGCUCAACCCCGGACGUGCAUCCGAUACUUCCGGACUGGAGGCAGGUAGGGGAGAGCGGAAUUCCCGGUGUAGCGGUGAAAUGCGCAGAUAUCAGGAAGAACACCCGUGGCGAAGGCGGCUCUCUGGGACGGUACUGACGCUGAGACGCGAAAGCGUGGGGAGCGAACAGG
rnacentral:rRNA from 1 species